rnacentral:rRNA from 1 species
AACGCUAGCUACAGGCUUAACACAUGCAAGUCGAGGGGAAACGACAUCGAAAGCUUGCUUUUGAUGGGCGUCGACCGGCGCACGGGUGAGUAACGCGUAUCCAACCUGCCCAUCACUUGGGGAUAACCUUGCGAAAGUAAGACUAAUACCCAAUGACGUCUCUAGAAGACAUCUGAAAGAGAUUAAAGAUUUAUCGGUGAUGGAUGGGGAUGCGUCUGAUUAGCUUGUUGGCGGGGUAACGGCCCACCAAGGCGACGAUCAGUAGGGGUUCUGAGAGGAAGGUCCCCCACAUUGGAACUGAGACACGGUCCAAACUCCUACGGGAGGCAGCAGUGAGGAAUAUUGGUCAAUGGACGAGAGUCUGAACCAGCCAAGUAGCGUGCAGGAUGACGGCCCUAUGGGUUGUAAACUGCUUUUAUAAGGGAAUAAAGUGAGUCUCGUGAGACUUUUUGCAUGUACCUUAUGAAUAAGGACCGGCUAAUUCCGUGCCAGCAGCCGCGGUAAUACGGAAGGUCCGGGCGUUAUCCGGAUUUAUUGGGUUUAAAGGGAGCGUAGGCCGUCUGUUAAGCGUGUUGUGAAAUGUAGAUGCUCAACAUCUGAAUUGCAGCGCGAACUGGCAGACUUGAGUGUGCGCAACGUAGGCGGAAUUCGUGGUGUAGCGGUGAAAUGCUUAGAUAUCACGAAGAACUCCGAUUG